rnacentral:rRNA from 1 species
GUCGAGGGGUAACAGAGUAGCUUGCUACUGCUGACGACCGGCGCACGGGUGCGUAACGCGUAUACAAUUUGCCUUAUACUGGAGGAUAGCCCGGAGAAAUCCGGAUUAAUACUCCAUAACAUCAUGAAUUCGCAUGUUUUUACGAUUAAAGCUUCGGUGGUAUAAGAUGAGUAUGCGUCCUAUUAGUUUGUUGGUAAGGUAACGGCUUACCAAGACUACGAUAGGUAGGGGGCCUGAGAGGGUUAUCCCCCACACUGGUACUGAGACACGGACCAGACUCCUACGGGAGGCAGCAGUGAGGAAUAUUGGGCAAUGGAGGCAACUCUGACCCAGCCAUGCCGCGUGAAGGAAGAAUGUCCUACGGAUUGUAAACUUCUUUUAUUUGGGAAGAAACCUUUCUACGUGUAGAAAGCUGACGGUACCAAACGAAUAAGGACCGGCUAACUCCGUGCCAGCAGCCGCGGUAAUACGGAGGGUCCAAGCGUUAUCCGGAAUCAUUGGGUUUAAAGGGUUCGCAGGCUGUUCAUUAAGUCAGUGGUGAAAUCUCUCGGCUCAACCGAGAAACUGCCAUUGAUACUGAUGGACUUGAAUAUAGUUGGAGUAGGCGGAAUGUGUAGUGUAGCGGUGAAAUGCUUAGAUAUUACACAGAACACCGAUAGCGAAGGCAGCUUACUAAAACUAUUAUUGACGCUCAUGAACGAAAGCGUGGGGAGCGAACAGGAUUAGAUACCCUGGUAGUCCACGCCGUAAAACUAUGA